rnacentral:rRNA from 1 species
CAGUCGCCGCGGUAAAACGUAGGUGGCAAGCGUUGUCCGGAAUUAUUGGGCGUAAAGGGCUCGCAGGCGGUUUCUUAAGUCUGAUGUGAAAGCCCCCGGCUCAACCGGGGAGGGUCAUUGGAAACUGGGAAACUUGAGUGCAGAAGAGGAGAAUGGAAUUCCACGUGUAGCGGUGAAAUGCGUAGAGAUGUGGAGGAACACCAGUGGCGAAGGCGACUCUCUGGUCUGUAACUGACGCUGAGGCUCGAAAGCGUGGGGAGCAAACAGGAUUAGAUACCCCCGUAGUCCCUGUCUCUUAUAC